CUCCCAGAGGAACAGUGGAAGAAGUACCAGCUGAUGACCGGAGAAAGCAGGGAGAGGCUGGAUUGCCGAGGGGUGACGCUGCGCUGCCUUGACGAGGCUGCCCAGGAGAAAAAGCACCAGGCCGAGGAGAUGAAGAGGGACAUUGUCGACUUGGUGGACAUUAUAGGGACCAUUAAGAAACAUGAUCCACCACCGCCUGGUUAAUAUGUGCCGCCGACGAUCUGUUCAGCAGGAUGCAGCGUGCUCUGAGGCGACCCCGGGCAGGAGGCAACAUGUGACCUCGUGCGCCAAACCUUUGACCUCUGUUCAGGAGCAGGCUAUGGCUGACUGGCUGGUGCUGUCUGGUCACUCAGCUCAGCAAGGGACUGGAAGCUGGAACUCUCUCUCUCCCAUUGAAAAGAAGAGAGAGAGAGUGUGUUCCAUCUCAUCCUCUCUCCCUCUCUCUCUAUUCCCCCAACAUCCAGGCGGCAUCUUGGGAGGGGAGGGGAGGGGAAGAGAAGAGAAGGGAAGGGAAGGGAAGGGAAGGGAAGAGAAGAAUACAAUAGCUCACUGGUGGACAGAGGAAAGAGACAAGGAAGAAGAAGAAGAGACUCGUCUCGUCUGGUCUCCCCCAGCAUCCAGGCAGCAUCUUGAAGGCCUGACUGGUUCCUUCGGCUCAGUGGUCUCGUCUCUGUCUCCCUCCCUGCAAGAGUCUGGCAGAGUUUAGUGCCAAGAAUGUGUGUGUGUGUG